rnacentral:rRNA from 1 species
ACUAGAGUAGCACUCGCAUAUCAAUAAGCGGAGGAAAAGAAACUAACAAGGAUUCCCCUAGUAACGGCGAGUGAAGCGGGAAGAGCUCAAAUUUGAAAUCUUAAAGGGUUUCCCUUACGAAUUGUAGUUUAAAGAAGUGUUUUCUGUUGAGGUUUUGGUAAAAGUUCUUUGGAAUAGGACAUCAUAGAGGGUGAGAAUCCCGUAUUUGACCUUUACUUUCAACUUUGUGAUACACUUUCAAAGAGUCGGAUUGUUUGGGAAUGCAGUCCAAAAUGGGUGGUAAAUUUCAUCUAAAGCUAAAUAUUGGCGAGAGACCGAUAGCGAACAAGUACCGUGAGGGAAAGAUGAAAAGAACUUUGAAAAGAGAGUUAAACAGUACGUGAAAUUGUCAAAAGGGAAGCGUUUGACACCAGUGUUGUUUUUCUGAAAAUCAAUUAAAGAACUGUUUAUGCUAAGUUGUUUAGACUUUAUCAGCUAACUGUUUAGUUUUGAGCUUUUCUUUAAUGCACUUUUCAGUUAACAAGUCAACAUCAAUUUCUCUUGCUGUAAAAAAGCUUGAGGAAGGUGGCUUGAGAUUCGUCUUAAGUGUUUAUAGCCUCUUGCCUAUGCAGUCGGAGAGAUUGAGGUCUGCAGCGUAGAUCCUUCGGGGCUAAAUGCAUUUGUGCUAAGUUAUAGCAUUUUAUAGACAACUUGUUGACUAUGAUUUGUCUUGUAGCUUACUCGCUUAUGUUAUUUUACCUACGCUUAGGAUGUUGAGUAGCGACAUACGCAC